rnacentral:lncRNA from 1 species
GUACAUCCUUACAGAUGAAGCACCUGAAGAAUCUACUGCCAACAUUCUUUGUGCUACGAGAGAUACUUACUUGAAGUGGCUCAAUGAUCGCACGAUUAUGUGUUGCAUAAUGAGGAUAGUUAUGAACGACGAACUUAGCCAUAAAUUUGAGGAUGUGCAGCCAGAGUAGAUCAUUCAAAUGUUGAAUGAGUCCUUCAGCACCCC